rnacentral:tRNA from 1 species
GAGGAUAUAGCUCAGUGGUAGAGCGUGUGCUUAGCAUGCACAAGGUCCUGGGUUCAAUCCCCGGUACUUCCG